rnacentral:rRNA from 1 species
GAUGAACGCUGGCGGCGUGCUUAACGCAUGCCAGUCGAACGGAAAGGCCCAAGCUUGCUUGGGUACUCGAGUGGCGAACGGGUGAGUAACACGUGGGUGAUCUGCCCUGCACUUCGGGAUAAGCCUGGGAAACUGGGUCUAAUACCGGAUAGGACCACAUUUUGGAUGGUGUGGUGGAAAGUUUUUCGGUGUGGGAUGAGCUCGCGGCCUAUCAGCUUGUUGGUGGGGUAAUGGCCUACCAAGGCGUCGACGGGUAGCCGGCCUGAGAGGGUGUACGGCCACAUUGGGACUGAGAUACGGCCCAGACUCCUACGGGAGGCAGCAGUGGGGAAUAUUGCACAAUGGGCGCAAGCCUGAUGCAGCGACGCCGCGUGGGGGAUGACGGCCUUCGGGUUGUAAACUCCUUUCGCUAGGGACGAAGCGUUAUGUGACGGUACCUGGAGAAGAAGCACCGGCUAACUACGUG